UUUUCUCUCUUUGAUGAGUUCUCAGCCAGCUCCUGAUCUGAUAAUGUGUAGCUUGCUCAUCAGCUCAGAAGAGACCCAUACGCAACCUCACACAGUGGUUGCGUGCUUUGCCCACAGUGGCAAAGACUUGGAUAGUCGCACACAGUGACCACGCUUUAUCGCACACAGUGAUAAAGACUUACAUUUUCAUAUUCAACUCAGCUUCUCCAUCAUUAGGUUUUCAGCUGUUUCACACAGGGUUCAGCAUAACAGUUGUUUUCACAGGUGUGCUCUAUAUCUCACAAUGGCUCAUAUUAGGAUGACAGUUUUCAAACAGGUCAAGUGCCUCUAUGCACGUAAUUAGGUAAAAUAUUUAUCUAUUUUACUUCAUCUCAUAUGUCAUCAUACUGUAUUUGAGCAACCUUAAGCUUAAUGCAGAUUACUUCUAACAACUGGUUAAAGUAAUGGUCUGGAGCACAGGCCAUUGUUGAUCAGGGAAAUCAUCUAAACAUUUUGUGUCAGCAAGGAGUGGGGGAAAGCCAUUCACCAGAGCAUAGCUUAACUGCUGCUGAUGUGGACUGGCCUUCUCCACACGCUCUUCAAGGCUGCUGUUUUCCUGAAAACUUCUAACAUUUGAAUCUCAUCCGCGACCAGUUUACGCUCAUAACAAUUAUGAGAAUAUAAAUGGCUCGCGCUGCCGGGAGUAAAUUCUUGCAUGACUGUGUCAUCUCCCUGUGAGGCAGUCUUACUUGCUCGGGAACCCAUGAUAACAACAACCGUGUCACAGACCAUGCCUGCUCCGCAGUCAUUAACACAAACACAGCAACACUCUUCUGGGACCCUAACCCAGUCGCGCGACUCAAAACCCAGUGAAGGGACGCUCGGGACACAAACCCAGGGCGAUUUCAAAACCGGACACUCACCGGACGCUUGGGCCCUUGGGCGAUUUUACCAAAAACCUCUCUCGGGACCCUAACCCAGUUCUGGGACACUAACCCAGUCAACUCUUCCAACUUACUCGGCGUUGCUUAGCGUGUAAUAUCAGCCUCAGAUCCCGCCGAUCGUCAUUCGUCGGGGAGAGAAAACGGACAGCUAAUCCACCGGCCCGAUGACAAAUUCUCACGUCUCGCUGACGUCAGGGUUCUCUCCUCGGUGAAUGCCGACUCCAGGGAUCCGGCUCGAAGGACCAAUUAAUGAUAGGUUCUUGUGCUUAAACCUAUUCGCUGGAACGUUAAAGGCAAUGUAAUAACACAGCAAGCAAGACACGAAGUAGGCAAAGUUCUUUGGGUUACUCAUGCAUGAGGGAGGCCUGCCUGGAGUCAAGUGUCGUUCCACCUACUUGACCUCCAUCAGACUCUCAGCCAGGUUCCCCAUAGCACUCCUUUUAUUGAGGUUACUUGAAUAUGCAUAGGGUCAUUAACAUAUGAUGUAUACAUACACACAAAGGGUACCUUGCCUGUGGUUUUGCAAAGUGUGUGUGUGUGUGUGUGUGUGUGUGUGUGUGUGUGUGUGUGUGUGUGUGUGUGUGUGUGUGUGAAUUGCUAACCAAAAGGGUCACACAGCAGGAACAACAUCCUAGGUCAUAAAGAGG
ensembl:lncRNA